rnacentral:sRNA from 1 species
GACCCUGUUGGGGUGCACCCUGAGCCAC